rnacentral:rRNA from 1 species
GCUGGCGGCGUGCCUAACACAUGCAAGUCGAACGAGAAGCUGACUUCUGAUUCCUUCGGGAUGAUGAGGUUAGCAGAAAGUGGCGAACGGGUGAGUAACGCGUGGGUAAUCUACCCUGUUAAGUGGGGGAUAACCCUCCGAAAGGAGGGCUAAUACCGCAUAAUAUCUUCACUUCUAAAAGAAGAGAAGAUUAAAGAUGGCCUCUAUACUAUGCUAUCGCUUCAGGAUGAGCCUGCGUCCUAUCAGUUAGUUGGUGGGGUAAUGGCCUACCAAGACCACAAUGGGUAGCCGGUCUGAGAGGAUGUACGGCCACACUGGGACUGAGAUACGGCCCAGACUCCUACGGGAGGCAGCAGUGGGGAAUAUUGCGCAAUGGGGGAAACCCUGACGCAGCGACGCCGCGUGGAUGAUGAAGGCCUUUGGGUUGUAAAAUCCUGUUCUGGGGGAGGAAAGCUUAAGGGUCCAAUAAGCCUUUAAGCUUGACGGUACCCCAAGAGAAAGCUCCGGCUAAUUAUGUGCCAGCAGCCGCGGUAAUACAUAAGGAGCAAGCGUUAUCCGGGAAUUAUUGGGCGUAAAGAGGGGCGCAGGCGGCUUUUCAAGUCGGAUGUAAAAUCUCCCGGCUCAACUGGGAGGGAUCAUUCGAUACUGUUGGCGCUAGAGGGCAGCAGAGGGAGGUGGAAUUCCCGGUGUAGUCGUGAAAUGCGUAGAUAUCGGGAGGAAACACCAGUGGCCAAAUGCGGCCCUCCUGGGGCUGUUGCUGACGCUGAAGGCCCAAAAGCGUGGGGAGCAAACAGGGAUUAGAUACCCUGGAGUUCACGCCUUAAACUAUUGGACACUAGGUAUGGGGAAGUAUUCGAUCCUUUUCCGUGUCGCAGCCUACGCCCUUACGUUGUCCCGCCUGGGGUAGUACGGCCGCCAGGGUUAAAACUCAAGGGAAUUUGA